AGAUGAAGCUAGCCUUCUCAGCUAGCCUUCAGAUUUGUCUGCUAACAGUAAAAAUACUAUAAUAAAUCGGUAACAUAUGUUGCCAGGCAAGGAAAAGUGAUAUAAAUAAAGAGACUGGGAGACCCAAACCAAGUACAAUGUGAAAAGAAUUUAAAUUUCAAUCUAUUUGCUGGCUAAUUACCAUUUGAAAAGUAAUUUGAAAGUUUUACUGUUAUUUGCUGAUAUUCUUCCUCAUUUUUCUUUUUUUCCUCUUCAGAUUGCAUUCUUACCCAAAUACUCUUCGUGAUUGCCUGCUUUGCGGCUUUGGGAUUCUUCAGGGAGUAGAGAACAUUCACACGGGUUGACAUCCCAGUUUUCUCAGCAUGUAAGCAUAUUGUAAUCCUAUUUAUUCACUAAAAAUUUAAAUUCAUGAGAUCUACACUUUAUUUUCUUUAAUCUGCAGGCCG
rnacentral:lncRNA from 1 species